rnacentral:rRNA from 1 species
UACGUAGGGCGCAAGCGUUGUCCGGAAUUAUUGGGCGUAAAGAGCUCGUAGGCAGCUUGUCACGUCGGGUGUGAAAGCCCGGGGCUUAACCCCGGGUCUGCAUUCGAUACGGGCUAGCUAGAGUGUGGUAGGGGAGAUCGGAAUUCCUGGUGUAGCGGUGAAAUGCGCAGAUAUCAGGAGGAACACCGGUGGCGAAGGCGGAUCUCUGGGCCAUUACUGACGCUGAGACGCGAAAGCGUGGGGAGCGAACAGG